UACGGGGGGGAGCAAGCGUUGUUCGGAUUUACUGGGCGUAAAGGGCGCGUAGGCGGCGCAACAAGUCACUUGUGAAAUCUCCGGGCUUAACCCGGAGCGGUCAAGUGAUACUGUCGUGCUAGAGUGCGGAAGGGGCUACUGGAAUUCUCGGUGUAGCGGUGAAAUGCGUAGAUAUCGAGAGGGAAACACCUGCGGCGAAAGGCGGGUAGCUGGGCCGACACUGACGCUGAACGGCGAAAGCUAGGGGAGCAAACGGGG
rnacentral:rRNA from 1 species